AUCUGCGCCCACAAGGCCGAUUUUUAAUGAAUGCUCAAAGCUCUGCUGAGGGGCAGCACUGUGUGCUGUUCUGCAGUGGAGUAAUUAGAGCUCCCCCUAAUGUCCAUUCCACCAUCCUACUGAAACAGCAGAGGAGCUGAGGAGCUCAGUUCCCCAGAACCUGCAGAGCUUCAGGCACAGCUGCAGAUAAUGGCUUCACUUCAGCUUCGACUGGAUUCAAACUGGACAAAUGACAGCAACACUCCCCUGGAUAUCAUCAAGAUGUACUUUUCAGAGGAUGCUGUGGCAGCCUGCUCAAGGAAUAAACUGGACUAUUUACACUGGAAAGAACUACUUUCCCACAGGCCAGAUUCUCUUAUUACUCUGUAAUAUUACUGACUGUCUGAGGUAGGAUAGUAUUGUUGUAAUUUUUAUAUGUUAGUAUUUUGCCAAUAUUCUGUGUGUGUUUUAAAUAAACUGUAAAAGAGUU